UACGUAGGGGGCUAGCGUUGUCCGGAAUCAUUGGGCGUAAAGCGCGCGUAGGCGGCCCGGUAAGUCCGCUGUGAAAGUCAAAGGCUCAACCUUUGAAUGUCAGCGGAUACUGCCGGGCUAGAGUCCGGAAGAGGCGAGUGGAAUUCCUGGUGUAGCGGUGGAGUGCGCAGAUAUCAGGAGGAACACCAACGGCGAAGGCAGCUCGCUGGGACGGUACUGACGCUGAGGUGCGAAAGCGUGGGGAGCAAACAGG
rnacentral:rRNA from 1 species